UGGGGAAUAUUGGACAAUGGGCGAAAGCCUGAUCCAGCCAUGCCGCGUGUGUGAAGAAGGUCUUCGGAUUGUCAAGCACUUUAAGUUGGGAGGAAGGGCAUUAACCUAAUACGUUAGUGUUUUGACGUUACCGACAGAAUAAGCACCGGCUAACUCUGUGCCAGCAGCCGCGGUAAUACAGAGGGUGCAAGCGUUAAUCGGAAUUACUGGGCGUAAAGCGCGCGUAGGUGGUUUGUUAAGUUGGAUGUGAAAUCCCCGGGCUCAACCUGGGAACUGCAUUCAAAACUGACUGACUAGAGUAUGGUAGAGGGUGGUGGAAUUUCCUGUGUAGCGGUGAAAUGCGUAGAUAUAGGAAGGAACACCAGUGGCGAAGGCGACCACCUGGACUAAUACUGACACUGAGGUGCGAAAGCGUGGGGAGCAAACA
rnacentral:rRNA from 1 species